GAUGCACCUCCACACCUGUCCAUGCUGUCACUCAGCCAUUCCAGGCUGUUUUUAUCUUCCUGUGGUUCUCAUCAUACUUCCUGUGGAAAGUGGAGGCUGUCUGCAGCAUGUGCACAGCUGUUUGGAACACCUCCAUAUUGAAGACUGACUCCAGGUUUACUGGGCUGGCCCAUCGUAAAUUGGACUGGAUAUCUUCUUUCUCGACUCUGCCAGACUCAAAGUGGACUACAGGGUGACCUUACCAGUCCUCCACAACCACAGCGUUAUCACUGCCAUGUGAUGAGCCUGAUUCCCAAGUCAUCUGUAAUGUGGAAUCCAUAAACUUCUCAAUGAAGAAAGUUAUUUGAAUUCUUAUUUUUUAAUGGUGGGGCUUAAAAAUUCCCAUUUCAGACCUGUAGUUUUAAAAUGAACCUCCAGUGUGUAUGUCAGCAGAUGAAAUUUCUGAGGAAAAUUGCUCUCAUGCCAUUCUCGUCUCCUCUCCUUUUCUCUGUCUCUUUCUGUCACACACUUACUCUAUCCACACACAUACUCCUUUUUUAAUCAGGAUUUACUUCAGAUUUGGUAAAUUUGGCUUUAUGCUAUUUUAUAUGUGCUUGUAUCUCUGGCAUCUUACAAAAAACUAUUUUUCAUGAGCUCAAAAAUCAUUUUGACACAAAAAAUUGUUUAUUUAAUUUUUUCAUAUGUGAAUUGUUUUUUAAUUGUGUUUCAUUCAAUACUUCAAACUGUAUGUGAAACUUCUGUGGUAAUUGCAGAGCAUUAGUGUAAUCACAUUAUAUUUUUGUUUUACUAUACUAAAUACAGUUACAAUUAUGUCAUUA
ensembl:lncRNA